UGAGGAAUAACCUGUAGGAGCUGCCGCAGGCUGCGAUCUUUUGAUCUUAAAAUACAAAAUCAAAAGAUCGCAGCCUGCGGCAGCUUCUACAGAGAUC
rnacentral:misc_RNA from 1 species